UACGCCGGGUUAAGGCGCCCGAUGCGGGACGCUCAGAGACCCCAUAAAAGGUGUCGGUUGCUCUAGACAGCAGGACGGUGGCCACAGAAGUCGGUAUCCGCUAAGGAGUGUGUAACAACUCACCUGCCUAAGCAACAGGUCCUGAAAAUGGAUGGCGCUCCAGCGUCGAGCCCAUACCCGGCCCUUUCUCUAAUGUUGAUUGAAAGGAGAAAGGAGUAAGAGGGUCGCGGCGGAGUGCGUAGAAGGUCAGGGCGCGAUCCCGACUGGAGCCUCCGCCGGUGCAGAUCUUGGUGGUAGUAGCAAAUAUUCGAGUGAGAACCUCGAAGACUGAAGCACGGCGAAGGGUUCCAUGUGAACAGCAGUUGAACAUGGGUGAGAAGGUCCUGAUUCACUUCCUAAAGGAAACUUAAUGGUCUCUUAUUAUUUGAGUAAGAGACGUAUUGGAGAAUGGGAAAAGGGUUAAUAUUCCCUUACCCGGACACGGAGAUAGGGGCACCAGUGUCCAAGUGCGGUAACACAAACGAACUCGGCGACGCCGUCGGAGGACCCGGAGAAGAGUUGACUUUUCUUCGUAAGAGCUCGUGUCCCUGGAAUCUCGUCACGAGGAGAUAGGGACGCUGUUCUCGUAAGAGCACGGUCGCUGCUGUCGUGUCCGGUACGCCUCCGCCGGCCCUUGAAAAACCGAGGGAGAGAGUGUGAUUUUCGUGCCGGUCCGUACCCAUAUCCGCAGCAGGUCUCCAAGGUGAACAGCCUCUAGUCUCUAGAACAAUGUAGGUAAGGGAAGUCGGCAAGUUCGAUCGCUAACUUCGGGAAAAGGAUUGGCUCUUGUGUUUCCGUCCUGGCGGACCUCUUUUGCCGUAUUUCGUCUCGUCUUUUUCGGGGACUGACCGCUCUUGCCGGGGUGGUCGGACCUCAUUAGGAUGAAUGGAAGAGGAAAGAGGGUGACCCUCUCCUUCGAGAGUUGGGCUUGUGCCGCCGGACAAAAUGGAAACGAACAAGAACUGGCACGGACUAGGGGAAUCCGACUGUCUAAUUAAAACA
rnacentral:rRNA from 1 species